AGCCUGAUCCAGCCUGCCGCGUGUGUGAAGAAGGUCUUCGGAUUGUAAAGCACUUUAAGUUGGGAGGAAGGGCAGUUACCUAAUACGUGAUUGUUUUGACGUUACCGACAGAAUAAGCACCGGCUAACUCUGUGCCAGCAGCCGCGGUAAUAC
rnacentral:rRNA from 1 species